rnacentral:lncRNA from 1 species
CAAUCUGCGAUAGUAUCUGGUCAGCCCGAUUUUAGUGCAAUUGAAAUCUCUCAAUCUCUCGAUCCUUUCCUUAAAAUCAUGGUAGAAAUGCAGCUGAUUCAGCAUAAUGAGCUGGUGUACCUGGAGGAGGAGCUGGAGCAAUAUAUAGCAGCACAACCGGGCAGAGGCCUCUGAGUCUGAGAUUGGGAAAACCCGCUGGAUGAUGAGCCUUUUGUUUUAGAUUGAGGUAGGCUACUUUGAAUUCAAAUGCUGUAUUGGGAAAGUUGCCGAAAACAUGGCCAAACUACUUGAUGAAUAUUGUUAACAUAGCUAU